AAUGGAGCUCUCCUCUUUAGA
rnacentral:tRNA from 1 species